rnacentral:rRNA from 1 species
AUUGAACGCUGGCGGCAUGCCUUACACAUGCAAGUCGAACGGCAGCACGGGACCUUGCUCCUGGUGGCGAGUGGCGAACGGGUGAGUAAUACAUCGGAACGUACCCUGAAGUGGGGGGAUAACGUAGCGAAAGUUACGCUAAUACCGCAUAUUCUGUGAGCAGGAAAGAGGGGGAUCGCAAGACCUCUUGCUUUAGGAGCGGCCGAUGUCGGAUUAGCUAGUUGGUGAGGUAAAGGCUCACCAAGGCGACGAUCCGUAGCGGGUCUGAGAGGAUGAUCCGCCACACUGGGACUGAGACACGGCCCAGACUCCUACGGGAGGCAGCAGUGGGGAAUUUUGGACAAUGGGCGCAAGCCUGAUCCAGCCAUGCCGCGUGAGUGAAGAAGGCC